UUUGAAAUUCAAGAUGGAUGAGAAAAAUCUAAUGAGGCUAAUGCACAUUAUGUGUUAUUAUUGGCUGUUAGCUUAUGAUAGUAAGAGACCAAGCAACUAGUUUGAAAAGAUCACUUUAAGGGGUGACUCUGCUACUCACCUCUGUGAGUAUAUAGAAUAGUAAGUGAAAAAUCACAGUAGCUAAUGAUUUGUUUGAUCAGAGAGAAGAGGCAUGUUAAGCUAAAUGUAUCACUUAGUUGAGAACACCUCUAUUUUAAUUCAUCAAUGAGUAUGUAGAAAAGGUCAGUUAUUAAUGCCCUACUCUCAUAAACACUAUUCUAUGCAAUAGUUGGUAGAUGGAAAUGGCCACUGUGAGAUGAAUAGAUGUCAUACUGAGGAAGGAACUGUACCUCCUGCAUCACACUGGAAGAGUUCAACAGAUGAGUGACAUCUGUUCAAGACCAGUACUUUUAAAAUAAGAGAAGUUAAUUCCUUGUGUGUCAUACUAUGUUCAUUGAAUUCUCUGAAAGCUGGGACCUACUUAUUUGGAAGUGUUAGGAAGUUGGAUCCAAACAUCUUGUCAGAUGUAAGACAUGCCUCAUAAACCAGCUUUCAAAGUUGAACGAAUUCCAAUAACUUUCCAAAAUAAGAAAUGCUCUAAUUUCAAUUGCCCAUCAAAUCAUUGGUUCUUCUUACAGAUGGAAGUAAGAGACUAUUAUCCUACAUUGUUUAGCUACAAUAACUUUGAGGGAUUUUGUUUUGUUUUGCUUUUUUCUUUUCAUUUUAACAUUACAGAAUGAAAUUAAUUGUGAGAGCCUGAGUGUAGCAUCAAUCACUUAAAACAGCAUCCUCAUCUUAUUUUUACCUAACAUUAAAUUAGAGUUUGAAACUAGUUUUUUUUCCCCUUUUCAAAUUUUAUUAAGGUCUUUGCUCUUGAAAGUGUUUGUAGGUUGUAUAGCAAAAUUAUUUCUUCAGUUAACUAUGGCCAAGGAUCAUGAAGUGUUAUGCUUUUUAGAAACUAUAGCAUUGUGUUGGUAACAAAUGGACAUAUUAUUUGGGGUAUCAUAGCUAUGUUUCUACUGUUCUGAGGAGGUAUCAUGAUUAAGACAAUAUAUGAAAAAUCUUUAAUUGAGGGCUUGCUUAUGGUUCUAAGGAAUGAAUAGAGUCUAUGACUAUCAUGGUGGGGAACAGUGAGUAGAUUAGUGUUUUGUGAGAUCAGUAGCUGAGGAAUUAGCUAUUGAGAUUACACCAUGUGGCAGAAAGAGAGAGGGAAAAAGAGCUAUCUGGGAACAGGUGGUCUUUUGAGAGCCUGUCCAUGGUGACAUGCCUCCUCCCACAAGGCCACACAUUCAAAUACAUCCCAAAUAGUUCCAUCAACUAGGAGCAAAGCAUUCAAAUACAUAGCCUUUGGGAGCUAUUGUUAUCAAAUAACCACAGGAGAGAACCACAGUGAGGUGAACUCUGCUUUCAGGGAACACUUCUAGAUUAACCCAGUAUUCCAAAGGCAUCAUUUUGCCUUUUGGAUGGUCUUUAUUUGCAGUGAUUCCUUUAAUUUGGAAUCAGUACUGCCUGCAAGAGGACAUUAGCUCUCAGGUAAUGUAUGAGCACUGUAAUCAAUGUUAAUCAUCUCAGUCCAGUCCCAGCUGCUAGUUGUGGGCUCUGUAUAACAUUAAGAGUCUACCUGGAAUCUUUUCCUCCCGUCUGAACUAAGAGUUCUGACUUGUUUAUUCAGCUGAUUUCUAUGCAAUUUCUGUUGUGCCAUGAAAUUGAGGCAGCCAAUGAAGACAGCUGGUGACAUGUAGGAUGUCAUUGUCUAUGCAAAUAGCUGUCACAUCAUUCUUCUGAGCCUCAUUUUAAAACAGAAGAUAGAGCUGUGCUUUGUAAACUAAGAAUUGCCUACAGAUUCAAGAGAUUCUGUCAGCCAAUGGCAGUGAGUUAAGGCAAAGAGACAAAACUGCAAGCUUUUAUUAAGUUGAAUGUGAGAUGAAAAUAAAAGAUAAGGAAAGCCAGCCCUUGAUAAUUCUCAGAUUGGUUAAAGUUUAUGAUCAUCAAUGCCCUUUGAUUCUCCUUCCCCUUCCAACCACCAACUACUGAAUAUUUCUCUUCUCAUUAACACCUGUCUAGAAGUGGGAAGGUGAAAUGCUAAUCAGGCAAUUUAGCUAAUUGUUAGCUGCUGCUAGGAUUUUUUUUUCUUCCUUUCUUUCAAGUUCGGAAAGGGAAAUGGUGAAAUCCAUUUCUAAAAUGUGAACAGUGGAUUUCUAAACUUUAUUUCACCUUCUCUUUCUUUCACUGCUGAAAUGAAUUCAGAUAUUUUGUUUUUAAUAAGGUGUUGGAAUAAAACCCUGAGACGGCAUACUUCUCAGAGAUUGAUUUUUAUUGUCACAUUACAUGCUUCUUAUUGACUAAUAUUUAAAAAUAUUAAUUUUUUACAACAUGACUAGCUUAAAAGAAUGGCCAGGAGUUACAAAUUUCAGUUCUGAGUGUAGCCCUAUAUAAGUGCACUUGACUAGAGGAUUUGGGACAACAACAAACCAACACAGAAAAAUUACUAACAACUGCCCUCCCCUCUGCCUGUGGUAGACAUUACAUGAUCCUCCCCUAGCCAAAUAAGGGAGAGAGGAAUGUUCUGAGUAUUAGAGGCACUAAGAAUAAAUCUGAGCUAUCUAGGGUAAGAUUACUUUCAACUCUUUAUUUUAUGUUUUCUGACACCAAUCCCCAAUCUGUAAUUAUAUCAGAGACACUGCGGGGGCUUAGACAGCACUUUCUAGAUACUCUGGCUUUGUUUUCCUCUUUUAUUUAUUUGCUUUUAUUUAUUUACUUACUUAUAUUUGCCUGUAUCUUUAGGGCUUGAGAGUUGGUGUGUGUGUGUGUGUGUGUGUGUGUGUUCCUCCAGAGUGCC
rnacentral:lncRNA from 1 species